rnacentral:lncRNA from 1 species
GCUGUCCCCAACCCCACAGUGUCUCCUUGGUGUCCCCAACCCCAUGGUGUCCCCUCGGUGUCCCCAACCUCUAUGCUGUCCCCAACCCCACGGUGUCCCCAGACCGCACUCUGCCCCCUCGGUGCCCUCAACCCCCCGCCUUCCCCAACCUCAACGGUGUCCCCAACCCCCACAACGUCCCCAACCCCGCUGUGUCCAAUGUCACCGUUGUCCCCAAAUGCUCACGGCCAGCGCCCCGCUGUCAUCCAUGCGCCGGAUGUCCUCGCAACCCCACAGGGCCCCACGGGGGACAUAGAGGGUGUGACCCCCCCUCAGCGCCGCCCCUCGCAGCCUCUGCUCCGUCUCGGGGUCGGCCAGCGCCGUGGGGGACCCCAGCUGGGGACGUGGGGACAACCAUGUCCCCAACAUCCGGGUCUGAUGGCCCCAAUGGCCCCCAAUAUCUCAAAGACAGCGGCCCCAGAUUCGUCGGGACAACCAUGUCCCCAAAGUCACCAACAUCCCAACCCCAAUCUCCCCAAAGUCUCCAAAGUCCCCAGCAUCCCCACCCCAAUGUCCCCAAUGUCCCCAAUGUCCCCAGUGUCCCCAACUCCCCGUUGUCCCCAAUGUCCCCAAUGUCCCCAACCCAUCUCCAAUGUCCCCAACAGCCCGUCGUCCCCAAUGUCCCCAAUGUCCCCAACACCCCAUUGUCCCCAGUGUCCCCAAUGUCCCCAAACCUCCCCUGUGUCCCCAACACCCCAUUGUCCCCAAUGUCCCCAACCCAUCUCCAGUGUCCCCAACCCUCCCCAAUGUCCCCAUUGUCCCCGAUGUCCCCACGUCCCCCCUCCCCCGUGUCCCCAUGUCCCUGUCCACCCCAACCCCUGGCUGACAACGCGGUGACACGAUGGUGA